ACCCCUAUGCAUAAUAAAUCAAUCGCGAGAGGGGUAUUAUCGUCAACAACCACGCCAACGAGUACACUUGCUGUUGACGCCAAAAUUCCUCUUCGCAGAAGUUCGCCGAUCUCAAACGAUGGCGGAAAUGGAGGAAAUGGAAGCGAUUAAAAAAGCGUAUGCAGAAAUGAUACUCAACACGGCGAAGGAGGCGGCAGCGCGCGUGAUGGCGGCGGAGCUGAGAGCGCGGCGGACGGAGCAGGAAAUGGUGUCAGUUAAGGAAGAGGCUGCGAACAUGCUCCUCCGAUUGAAGCAAAUGAUAGACACAAAGACCAAAGAAGCAGAGAUCACAUCACUGAAACAAAAGAACAGAUUCGAGGAGCUUGAGUGUCAGCUAAAUGAAGCAGAAGGCAUCAUUUUGGACCUUAGAGAGGAACUGAACCAGGGACAGGAUCAACUAGAUAAGUUGAAGAAGAAAAAAGUGGUUCUUAAGAGAGGGAGUCAAGAAAAUGCAGAAGAGUACAGUUUAACAACAAGGGUCAGAAGUGAAGGUUAUGAGCUCUUGACUUCUACCUUGAACCCUGAACCAGAAUUUAUUAGCACCAUUGGUAAAAAUAAUUUAUUGUCUGACUGGAGUGCACUCGCCCAAGGGAGUCGGGGUUCUGCUAAACAGAAUGUAAUUGCUUGUUUGGACCAGAUAACGGAGUCUGAUCAAUUCGGGAAUGGUGGUUCAGAGAGAACUUGUGCAAAUGAAACAAACUUAGUGGAAGAAACCUUUCCUGAUGUAGAGAAACUGAAUCAAAGUGAAAAUGGCACCAAUGUAGAGAGUGUAAAUGCUGUCGAGCGUACUUCUGUAUUAGAUGAAAACAACCGAUAUGGAAAUGGUGAAGCUGCGUCUAUAGUCCGUCGAAGUGUUAGGAAAAGAAAACUCAAGUUCUGGGAUGACGUUAUUGCUGCAUGUGGAUUGCAGGUCAAGAAACCUCGUUCAGGAUCUGCAGAAUUUUCUUGUCUGGGUACACGCAAGAUGAAAAAGUGUGCGAAAUCUGGCGAAGACCUGCCAGAAGGUGAUGCUAAAAUUGAGAGUGUUGAUGUUUCAGAGGUCUCAAAAGAAAUUAUUAACAAUGAAGCUCUUUCAGAAAACACAGAGUUGGUUGAUGUGCUAGUGAAACCGGAUGACCUUGCUGCAACUUCCGAGUUGUCUAGUGCAUCAAGAAUUGAAUGUGAUGUGGAAGAUGGUGCUGCAGAAAGAGCAUCGAAUCUUAGCUAUGGUGAUGGCAAUAAACCAUGCAUAUAUACAUUCAACAGGAGAUGGCGGAAGAAAUCCACGAUUCACCCUGAGAAAGUUCUUGAUAGAUCAAGCUUGUCAUGACUGGAUCUUGUAAAAAUCUGGCAACUGGUGCAGGCCUCAUCAGCUUACCCUUAGUCUGGGAACAGUUUUAGGAUCGUUGAAUUUUGAAGAACUCCGAAGCAACUAAGCCAUGAAGGAUAAAGUUAAGUGGUUUUACAUUUGUGUGUUCAUGACAGUCACACAAGCUUCAACUCAAGAGAGAUGCAGCUAUGUCUAAGUGUGAAAAAAUGGCGGCGGGGGACGGCGGCGAAGAUCGGCUGAGGGCGGUGAGCUUCGCGGCCGGGACAGCGGCGUUCAUGGCUUGCAUUGAGCGAGCAUUUAUGGUGUCUGUGUUCAUGCAUUGGCGAGUGUGGGCGUUUCUUGCCUUGAAUCUCUUGCUCUUAGCCAUUCUCUUCACUUCCAAAUCGCAAAACACAGAAUCCAGCCAAAUCCAAUGCAAAAAUGGAGGUGAUGAAGCGGAGGUCAAGAGGAGUAAGAAGACUAGGCAUAGGCAGCGCAAGCAACUGUUGCUUCCGACUGAGAAAUGCGUUGUGGCGGAGACAGAGGAGGCGCCGCCACCGCCACCGCCGGAAGUUGAAGUUGAGAAUGAGAUUGAAGGAAAGUUGGAUGAAUAUGAUGAGCUAUCGGAGGAGGAAUUGAAGCAGAGAGUGGAGAAUUUCAUUGCUAUGUUUAGGCAGCAUUUGAUAUGUGAUGCUAAGGGUACCCAAAUUGUGGGAUGUGCUAAUGUUAUUGCUUCUCGUGUAUAUUGAUUCAUCAUAUUUUGAAAGUAGUAAUGAACAUAUUUUUUUUAGAAUA